GUACUUGCUUCGGCAACACAUAUACUAAAACUUGAAUGAUACAGAGAAGAUUAGCAUGGCCUUUGUGUAAGGAUGACACACACAUUCAUAAAGUUUGUACUUUUUUU